rnacentral:misc_RNA from 1 species
AACUCUCAACAACGGAUAUCUUGGCUCUCGCAACGAUGAAGAACGCAGCGAAAUGCGAUACGUAGUGUGAAUUGCAGAAUCCCGUGAAUCAUCGAAUCUUUGAACGCAUAUUGCGCUCGAGGCUUCGGCCAAGAGCAUGUCUGCCUCAGCGUCGGGUUAAUAUCAUCCUACUUAACACCUAGGAUGGAUCUGAUCGUUCCAGUUCAGUUGUGUUGGUUGAUAAUCAUGCCUUCAUCGGCUGACUAUCAACUGCAUGUGUAACCCUGGAUCGGUUGAAGCGCAGAGAUGACUUAGGACCCACCAUGGGCCGCAACUGGGUAGGCGUGUCCUUAAUUGGGCAAUGUCAAUGCUUAGUUGUUGGUCUGGAUUCUAAGGCGUCCACCUCAAGGAUUAAACCUUACCUUAUUACCUCGACCUGAGCUCAGGCAAGAACACCCGCUGAACUUAAGCAUAUCAAUAAGCGGAGGAAAAGAAACUAACCAGGAUUCCCCUAGUAACGGCGAGCGAACCGGGAAUAGCCCAACUUGAAAAUCUCCCUUUGGAGAAUUGUAGUCUACAGAAGCGCCCUCUGCGGCGGUCGGAGCCCAAGUCUGCUGGAAAGCAGCGUCAUAGAGGGUGAGAACCCCGUCGGCUCUCGGCUCAGUCGCUCCACGAGGUGCUUUCCACGAGUCGGGUUGUUUGGGAAUGCAGCCCAAAAUGGGAGGUAAAUCCCUUCUAAGGCUAAAUAUUGGCGAGAGACCGAUAGCGAACAAGUACCGUGAGGGAAAGAUGAAAAGAACUUUGAAAAGAGAGUUAAAAAGUGCUUGAAAUUGUUGAGAGGGAAGCGAUGGGAGGGCGUGGGUGCGCCCAGGCUUAUACGCCUCUAACGAGUCGUUGUAUGCGCUGGGUGCUGGUCAGCAUGGGUUCGACGGGCGGGAUAACAAUCGGGCUAGUUUAUCCCGGUCUAUGCCGUCUGUCGGACCAAGGUGUGAAUGGCGCUUCGUCCUCCGGGAACUGCGCCAUCAAGAUGCUGGCGGAAGCCCUUCCAUCGGCCCGUCUUGAAACACGGACCAAGGAGUCUAACAUGUAUGCGAGUUGGUGGGUGGCAAACCCAUGAAGCGCAAGUAACCUGACUGGUGGGAUGGCCUGUGCCUGCACCAUCGACCGACCAUGAUCUUCUGUGAAAGGUUUGAGUGCGAGCAUACCUGUUGGGACCCGAAAGAUGGUGAACUAUGCCUGAGCAGGGUGAAGCCAGAGGAAACUCUGGUGGAGGCUCGUAGAUGUGCUGACGUGCAAAUCGCUUUUCGGACUUGGGUAUAGGGGCGAAAGACUAAUCGAACCAUCUAGUAGCUGGUUCCCUC